GACGAACGCUGGCGGCGUGCUUAACACAUGCAAGUCGAACGGAAAGGCCCCUUUGGGGGUACUCGAGUGGCGAACGGGUGAGUAACACGUGAGUAACCUGCCCUUGACUUCGGGAUAACUUCAGGAAACUGGGGCUAAUACCGGAUAGGCAUCCUUGCUGCAUGGUGGGGGUUGGAAAGCUUCGGCGGUUUUGGCUGGACUCGCGGCUUAUCAGCUUGUUGGUGGGGUAGUGGCUUACCAAGGCUUUGACGGGUAGCCGGCCUGAGAGGGCGACCGGCCACAUUGGGACUGAGAUACGGCCCAGACUCCUACGGGAGGCAGCAGUGGGGAAUAUUGCACAAUGGGCGGAAGCCUGAUGCAGCAACGCCGCGUGCGGGAUGACGGCCUUCGGGUUGUAAACCGCUUUCAGCAGGGGCGAAGCUUGUGGUGACGGUACCUGCAGAAGAAGCACCGGCUAACUACGUG
rnacentral:rRNA from 1 species